rnacentral:sRNA from 1 species
GGCCUUGGUCUCACCUCUCUUCAGGCUGGAGUGCAGUGGUGCGAUCUCGGCUCACCGCAACCUCCGCCUCCUGGCUUCAAGCCAUUCUCCUGCCUCAGCCUCUCCAGUAGCUGGGACUACAAGCACGCGCCACCACGCCCGGCUAAUUUUCUAUUUUUAGUAGAGACUUGGUUUCUCCAUGUUGAUCUGGCUGGUCUCGAACUCCUGAACUCAGGUGAUCUGCCCGCCUCGGCCUCCCAAAGUGCUGGGAUUAGAGACGUGAGCCACCGCGCCCGGCCUAAUAUGUCACAUUUUCAAAUGUACUUAAAUUAUGUUUUUAAACAACA